rnacentral:rRNA from 1 species
AGCGAACGCUGGCGGCGUGCCUAACACAUGCAAGUCGAACGUGAACGGAGCAAUCCUAGUAAAGUGGCGUACGGGUGAGUAACACGUAGGUAAUCUACCUUACAGUUCGGAAUAAACCUGACGAAAGUCGGGCUAAUACUGGAUAGAGCGACGGAAGCCGUAACGGUUUUUUCGGGUAAAGGGAGCUUGAUAAGAGCCCUCGCUGUAAGAUGAGCCUGCGUCUUGAUUAGUUAGUUGGUGGGGAAUGGCCUACCAAGACGAUGAUCAGUAGCUGGUCUGAGAGGAUGAUCAGCCACACUGGAACUGAAACACGGUCCAGACUCCGUACGGGGGCAGCA